rnacentral:rRNA from 1 species
GUGUCAGCCGCCGCGGUAAUACGGAGGGUGCGAGCGUUAAUCGGAAUUACUGGGCGUAAAGGGUGCGUAGGUGGUUGAUUAAGUUAUCUGUGAAAUUCCUGGGCUCAACCUAGGGUGGUCAGAUAAUACUGGUUGACUUGAGUAUAGUAGAGGGUAGUGGAAUUUCCGGUGUAGCGGUGAAAUGCGUAGAUAUCGGAAAGAACACCGGUGGCGAAGGCGGCUACCUGGACUAAUACUGACACUGAGGCACGAAAGCGUGGGGAGCAAACAGGAUUAGAUACCCUGGUAGUCCACGCUGUAAACGAUGUCAACUAGCUGUUGGUUAUAUGAAUAUAAUGAGUGGCGCAGCUAACGCGAUAAGUUGACCGCCUGGGGAGUACGGUCGCAAGAUUAAA